rnacentral:lncRNA from 1 species
UUUUGUAAAACUAGUAGAAUCCCCCGCGCUUCGCGGCGGACAUUCGGUCGGCAACGCUUCGGUUCGUAACGUAAUGACAACUGAAAGAGAAAACCUGAAAAACAAAAAAUAACAUAAUGCAAGCUAAAUGCAAAUGUCUAUGUAUGUAGGCUAGUUUUUAACCCCUGUGUUACGGGGCAUAGGUCGUAAAAUUGUGCUAAGUGGUAAGCAAACAAUGAUCAAACCAGAAAAAUCGUAAAUCAAAAACCCAAAUUUGUGCAGACAAAAAAAAACGCAAACUUA